rnacentral:rRNA from 1 species
CAAGAUCGUGAGAUGGAGCAAAUCCCAGAAAUAACGUCCCAGUUCGGAUUGUAGUCUGCAACCCGGCUACAUGAAGCUGGAAUCGCUAGUAAUCGCGGAUCAGAAUGCCGCGGUGAAUACGUUCCCGGGUCUUGUACACACCGCCCGUCACACCAUGGGAGCCGGAAAUGCCCGAAGUCAGUGACCCAACCGCAAGGAGGGAGCUGCCGAAGGUGGAGCUGGUAACUGGGGUGAAGUCGUAACAAGGUAGC